rnacentral:lncRNA from 1 species
UUUUCUUGCUUUAAUUCUAUAAACAUGAAAACAAAAUAAAAAAAGUGUGUAGAUAAGUGUGCUUUAUUUUCCUGCUAAGUUUAAUCUUUAGAAAAAAUAAAAAGACCAAAAAGAUGCAUGAUGGAAAUAAUAAACAGUUUCUCUGUUUACUUAAUUUCAAGUACCUAGCUUUUAUAUUAGAGUUCUUCCAGGAAUUACUAAAACUGAAAUUAUUAUCUUUGGGAAGCAUAAAACUAAUGUCUAGGUAAGUGAAAGGCAUGAUAUAAAGUUGAGCUGCUGUUUAUCUUGUUUGUACUACACUAAGUUCUGGAGAUUUAUUUUGAAAACUUACAAAUCACAUGAUGGGUUCCUAGCAUAACAAACUACCUACCACAGCCAUACUUGCUAAAACAUCUUUUACUAUAUUUACAUUGAGUUUGAUCGAGCUGUGUAGACCCUUAGGAGCUUUUCAUGUGGUUAAAUUAAGAUAUUCACUUGCACACAUCUACCACAACAUUCAUCACCAAUCAUUAAAAUUGCUAAAAAUAUUAUCACUCACUGUCCCAAAUAUUGUUAUUUUCUCUCUCUGAAAAGAUUUAAUGCAGAAGAGGCAAGGGUUAUGCAAAAAUAUACGAGGAAAUAAAAAGAGGCAAGUGCCCAGAACCUCGAAAAAGAAAGAAAAAAGAGUGAGACGAGAGGUAAAAAUGCUUGAGCGGAAAAAAUGGACAAGUGUCCGACAGUAGAAUUAGGGGUAUCUACUACCCACCUGAAAAAAAAGAGAAAAAAAAAGAUAGCCCAUGUUCUCCCAAAGCAAAGAUCAAAGAAGAGGAGAAAUAGCAAUAUGAGGAGCAAUGAGAACUAAGUUUUAUUAUCACUUAUAUAUCUUCAUCAUCACUAUCAUUACUCCAUCACACAUGCACAUCUUGAUUUAAUUAUAUGCUGAGUUCCUUUGGAUCCGUGGCUCGAUUAGACAACAUAUGUAUGAGCUGUUUUUCACUCCUAUGAGCUCCACUUAAAUAUUCCAUUAGCUAUAGGUAAGUGAUAUUUUGGUAAGGAUCCACAAAUACCACAUAUAGAGAGAAUUGAGAGAAUCAUCGCUGGGAACUCUGAGUUUUAUUUUAAAAACUUAUGAAAAACUCUGGAACAAAAGUGAAGUAUAAAUAGGAGGAAUAGUGCUUGACUUAACUAUUUUGUCUUUCAAUUACUUAAGACUUAGGUGCAGGUUCUAAACUCCAUGACAAUUCACUCUAAUCUGGAAGAAAUUUUAUAGAAGCAUGUGUGCCAGUCAGGAAAGAAAACAUCGAAGCAACUCCUGAUCCGUCUGAGUUUAGCUGUUUGCUCAGGGACGAGCAAAGGGUAAGCUUGGGGGAGUUUGUUGACGGUCCUUAAGUACUAAAAUUAAUAAUCAAAUAAACAUGAAAAAGGAUCAAUAUGAAACAAACAUCUAGAAUUAGGGUUUUAUUUGACAGAAUUCCACGAGCUUUGGUGUUUAUCUAUUUCUAUAGGGGGUUAUCAGAGAAUAUGGAGAGAAGGCCCACAUGUCAUGUUUACAACGAGAUAAUUACGUGUCGCGCAAUUUUCCUCAAUCUAGAAGAGUCGAGAAGCCACGGGAACGAACGAGAGCACGAUCGGGCUCGGGGGCAGGGCGGCCGCCCACCCCCCUUGGGCGCCCGCCCAGGGUUGGAGACCAAUCGGGACUCUGCUUCGGGACUACGCUCCACCGACCUAAAGGAUCAAUCUAAACCAUACAAUCUAUGUCGGUUUGAUCUGACGGCCCAUAUUCACUUGAAAAGACUAUAUAACCAAGGCCUCUCCACCCCUGGAGGAGAGAGGAGAAGAGAAGAAAUCAUUAUGCAGAGGUAGCCAUCAAAGUUAGGGUUUAGAGCUUCUCUCCCAUAGAGAAUUAGAAUUAGCUACUCCCUAAUCCUUCAAGUUUAGAGGUUUGAUUAGAUAGCAAUUAGAGAAGUAGAGCACUACGCUCUGGAUUCGGAUCUUCGGUAAUAAAGAUUGGUAUUAUUCACAUCUUUCUCUAAUUCUUUGUUCUAAUUGCAUUAUGUCUCUAGUUAUUAUGAUCUUAGUUUGCUCUAGUUCUAUAUUUGAUAUAGUUCUAAUUGAUAAUGAGUUUAUGUAUAAGUUUGCAAAGCACUUAGCUCUUGACGCGAGGGAGUUAGGUGAUAGAUAACAUGUGAGCGUGGUGCUUAGAUGUUAUUUAUCUGCAAAUGUAUCCUAUUGGCCGGGUUGUGUGGUAGUUCGCGAUAGUGACAGCUUCGCUGAUUCUUAUAUAGUCCACCCUCCGUUGAUAGGACAGGCAGAACCGGUAUUGUGGAGUAAGUCUUGCGAUGCUCUGAUUUACUUUAGCAAUGUUCCUUAUACAUGAAUGAAGAGUCUUUUAUGCUAUAUAUGAUCUUGUAGAUAACUAGAGUAGAUUAUGACUUAGUAGUUAGUAGAUAACUUAGAAUCCAUUCUCUAGCUAAUCCGACAUCACCUACAUAUAUGAGGAGUAGUCUAAUUUCUAAUCGCUGUGUUAUUUAUCCCUUGAACUUAUAAUUCAUUAUCAUUAUCUUUAUGGUUUACCCCGUGCUAAAGUAAGUGACUGUGUGACAAGUUUCUCAUUAGUAAUCAUGUUCUUGCAAGUUUAUCUCUAGUCUAUGCCUUGAUAGAUUUUGUCCUUAAUUUAAUUUCAUCCCUUUUGUUCUCUUAAGCAAAAUUAUAAAUAACGAUACCUGGAAUACUUAUCCUGGUGAAAUGCUACAAUGAGGUGUUUUAUCUGUGCGCUUGCGGAUAGAAUAGAUUCUUUUCUAGAGAGCCUUUACAUUUAUAAAUACCUUUGUACACUCUGGCACCAUGCUGGGGAUGACAACCUAGUAUCUAAGUGGUGUUAGCUAGUGUCAACAUAGAGCACUACGCUCUGGAUUCGGAUCUUCGGUAAUAAAGAUUGGUAUUAUUCAUAUCUUUCUCUAAUUCUUUGUUCUAAUUGCAUUAUGUCUCUAAUUACUAUGUUCUUAGUUUGCUCUAGUUCUAUAUUUGAUAUAGUUCUAAUUGAUAAUGAGUUUAUGUAUAAGUUUGCAAAGCGCUUAGCUCUUGACGCGAGGGUGUUAGGUGAUAGAUCACAUGUGAGCGUGGUGCUUAGAUGUUAUUUAUGUGCAAAUGUAUCCUAUUGGCCGGGUUGUGUGGUAGUUCGCGAUAGUGACAGCUUCGUUGAUUCUUAUAUAGUCCACCCUCCGUUGAUAGGACAGGCAGAACCGGUAUUGUGGAGUAAGUCAUGCGAUGCUCUGAUUUACUUUAUCAAUGUUCCUUAUACAUGAAUGAAGAGUCUUUUAUGCUAUCUUGUAGAUAACUAGAGUAGAUUAUGACUUAGUAGUUAGUAGAUAACUUAGAAUCCAUUCUCUAGCUAAUCCGACAUCACCUACAUAUAUGAGGAGUAGUCUAUUUUCUAAUCGCUGUGUUAUCUACCCAUGAACUUAUAAUUCAUUAUCAUUAUCUUUAUGGUUUACCCCCUAUUUAAGUAUGUGACUGUGUGACGAGUUUCUCAUUAGUAAUCAUAUUCUUGUAAGUUUAUCUCUAGUCUAUGCCUUGAUAGAUUUUGACCUUAUUAUAAUUUUACCCCUUGUCUUCUUAAGCAAAAUUAUAAAUAACGAUACCUGGAAUACUUAUCCUAGUGAAAUGCUACAAUGAGGUGUUUUAUCUGUGCGCUUGCGGAUAGAAUAGAUUAUUUUGUAGAGAGCCUUUACAUUUAUAAAUACCUUUGUACACUCUGGCACCAUGCUGGGGAUGACAACCUAGUAUCUAAGUGGUGUUAGCUAGUGUCAACACUCCCUAGGAAGCGGGUUAAGAGACUCGCGACCUCGAGCGAAAGAGUAAAUCAUGACUCAUAGGGAAUGUGUACAAGCUCUAUUAUAUGAGCCGUGCUCAAGGUCACAAGCGGCCUUGGAACCGAUACAGAAUAAAUGAUCACUAAUGGCAAAUCAAUAAUGUUAUUGUUAAUAAUAUGCUAUUUAUGCUAUUCUAUAUUCAUUUUACUUGAUCAUGAGUUUACUUUGGAUCUUGACUACUUGAUGCUACUCAUAUGCUAAAAUUGUGACAACUAAAAGCUACAUACAGUUAAACUAGUGUCUAGCCUUUGAGCCUCAUGAACGAGAUGUACUUAUGCUUGUUUAUUUUCUUUAUUGGAUAAAAAUCUCAGAUGGGUAACAGAUGACAUGGGUAAUGACUACUACUAGUACUUCCCUGAGGAUUUCUAGACUUGUGGUCAACCAGUUGAUGUGCCUGUGAGAUGGAGCAUCUACAUGAGACUUAUCUUUUUAUUUCUGCUUCAUUUGUGUAUAGACUCUGAGAUAAUAUCGUUAUGUAAUAAACACUUGUGAUGAUACUUCCUAUAAUUUGUCAGCUUAUGUGUGAUUGAUCUCUGGGUGCACAUAAGAUAUUGCAUUUAUUUUUAUCCUUAAAAUUGGGUGUGACAAAUUGGUAUUAGAGCCGUGUUGACUGUAGGACGCAAGCCUAGAUAGAAAUGGUCAUAUUGAUUGUCUUUACUUCUCUACUCUCAUGCUUAUUGUCUUACUCUUGUUAUUUGCUAAAAUUCUUAUGCUUCUGUCUUCUUACUCUAUUAUGAAAUUAUUCCUUCUAUUCUAACUUCUUUUUGGUCUAAUUCUAUAGAUGGUUCGUGCCCACAUGACUACCCGUAUCUCAACCGGAGGAUACUACCCACCUCGUCACCAGUACGAGCCUAUGGAGUCACGUGUGGAGAGUUCGUCCGAAUAUGAAGAGACUCCACCACCCCUAAUACAAGCAUUUGAACCAGAGCUAUCACAAUUGGAGUCUGAAGCUAAAGAGGACCCCAGGAGGUCAUUCGAAUCUCUAACGAUGAAGAGGAAGAAGGUGCUAUUCCAGGUGGUGGUCAACCCCUAUCACCGCCACGAGAUGAAACUACUGAGGAUGAUGAUACCACUCCUAUGGGAUGGACUAGAAAGGUUUACCAUAAGUCGUCGUGCUACGCUCCGUCGCACCACCGACUCGUGGGGAUGUUGGAUCCCUACUUCUCUGACUGGGAUGCAACUGUGGAGUAUUCUUGCAGCGAGUACACACACCCCCUAGAGGACACUUACUGGAAGUCAAAAGUGCAUAUCUAUCCCAAGGAUGUGGAGAAAGAUGCGUACCUUAAAGACAGAGGUUACCAUCAUGAUGGACAUAGGGCUACCAUGGAGGAGAGCACGGAGGAAGCAACUUUCACAGCAUGUUUGUUCCUCCGUGAGCACCGUUUUAGUGACAUGCGGUGGGAUAUAUAUCAUUACCUACCCUGCAUAGAUCCCAAACAAGGAUGGGGAAUGCUGGACCUAGUGGAUCUAGACCCAGUUUCUUGAGUGAUGUUGCACUUCGCUCAUGAUAUGAUGGAGAAGCAUCUAAAAUUGCAAGACAUGGUGAUAGCACAAGAGAAGGCUCUCAAGAGGUGCUAUAAGGUGAUAGAUAACCAUUGGGAGAAGGAAGGACUGCCUAAGAUCUAUGAGAAGCUCGAAUAUGAACCACACCCUUAGUAUUGGAGUCCCUACUAUGUAAUAAUACGUUAGAAGCGCAAGUGAGUCGAGUCAAGUUUUUGUGUGGUGUGCACUUUGCUAUGCUUAGUAGUUUUAUUAUUGUGUUUAUGUGUGAGUUGGAUUUUUGUAAUGAGUGCUGGGACAUUAUAGGCAUGUCUACAAGUUCCAUAGUUUAGGUUAUUAAUGAUUAAGGAUUAUUGAAUAAAUAGUUGGGUUGGUAUAUUCUGUCUUUCGUGUUUUGCUUCCCAGGACCAAUUUGUCUUUACGGUAAUACUUAGAAAAAUCCACACAACCAAAAAUCAUGAAAUUUUCACUAGUAGAAAAGAGUACAACGCCGACGCCCCCUAUGAAUUUUAGUUAUCACGCGCCUAUGGUAUAAAAAGGGCGGUGCAGAACUACGAACCGUUUGUGAAGAUGCAUUUUCACAGGCGGUUUUCCUAACAAAACCGUCUGUUCAAAUCAUGGAUUUCUACAGGCGGUUGUCCUAAGGAACCGCCACUAAAAAUCAUAUUUCUACUGGCGGUUUUCCUAACAAAACCGCCAGUAGAAAUCAUGUAUUUCUACAUGCGGUUCUCCUAACAAACCGCCUGUAAAAAUCAUAUUUCUACGGGUGGUUUCUUAAGAAAGCUGCCUGUAGAAAUUAUUUGAAAUUGAAUUUUUUGAGUUUUUCAAAUGACCUUGUUUGAAAAAACUGUCAAAAUGAAAGUUGUAGAUCUCGAAAAGUUAUGAAACUUUGUAGUUGAUAAUUUUUUCAUUUGACAUCAUCUUGUCGUCGAAAACUACGUUUGAAUUUCUUAAAUUUGAAAUUAAAAUUUUGUAAAUGACCUCAGAUGGAAAAACUUUCAAUAGAAAAGUUGUAGAUCUUGAAAAGUUAUGAAACUUUGUAGUUGACAACUUUUCCAUUGUAAUCCGUUUAGGGCCUUAAAUAAGAGCAAGGUCUUAGGUUCGAAUCCCACCGGCCGCGAAACACGCAAUUUUACGUGAAAAAAUACGCGACUUAGCCAAUGGGCCUCCCUUGUAAUUAAAAUAUUUUUUUUCUAUUUUUAAAAGUCGAUUUUGUAUUUGGUCUCAGGUUCGAAUCCCACCGGCCGCGAAACACGCAAUUUUACGUGAAAAAAUGCGCGACUUAGCCAAUGGGCCUCCCUUGUAAUUAAAAUCCUUUUUUUUCUAUUUUUAAAAGUCAAAUUUGUAUUUUCUGUAAAAACAUUUCUACAGGCGAUUCACAUAACUGAACCGCCUGUAGAAAUGAAUUUCUACAGGCAGUUCUUAGUUACCGCGUGUAGAAUUGGCCCAUUUCUACUGGCCUCCACCGCAGGCGGUGCUGAAAAACGCCAGUAGAAAUAGGUUUCCAGCCACCUGUAUAGUAUGCCUUUGUACUAAUGUUUUAUGAGAUUAACUAGACUUAAGCAUCUUUCCGAUGCCUCUGGAAUCACCUUUUUUCUGAUCGGGUCCGUGAGAUACGAAUGUUGAACGUUGAAGUUUUUGUGCAGUCUGAGUUCUAGAACAGUUUCAGUUGUGGACAGUUUUUGUUUAAUUUAACGUCAAAAUCUGAAAGUGUGUUCUUAACAAAAGGUGUAGACAACUUCUUAAGCUUUCCAUCCAUGAAAAUUACGCCUCUGUUGGACUAAUGUAUCUCGAGAUAUGGUUAAUUUACUGAACUGGUGACAAUGGAACUCGCCCAGAAAUUUCCAGAACUACGAAUUUUAUCACUAUAAUUAAGUUUCUAUAACUUGGGAAAUUCUAAAGUUUUGCAUAUUUUGUUAGAUGACAGAUUCCACCAAGGGGUAGAGGACGUGGAAGGGGUGUUCCACUCAACCCGCCAGCCACACUAGAUUAGUUGCUGACAGUCCAGACGCAACUCAUGGAGGUCGUGGUGAACAAUCAACAAAAUCAACCAAUUGGAGGGGUACCACCGCGUGACAAGCGGGGCGAAUUCUUGAAGGGUCAUCCACCGGUGUUCAUGCAUGCCUCUGAUCCACUGGAGGCAGAUGACUGGCUCCAUGUAGUGGAGAAGCAACUCAACAUAACAUAGUGUGAUGACCGGCAGAAGGUGUUGUUCAUCUAGACAACUUCAGGGAGAAGCUCAAACAUGGUGGAAGUCAUUUGAGUAUGGACGUCCCCCCAAUGCUCCUGCUAUCACUUGGUAGGAGUUUAGAGAGAAUUUUAGGUCCUAUCACAUACCAGAGGGACUAAUGGAGCUGAAGGCAGAGGAGUUCUGAAAUUUGAAGCAGGGAUCUAUGACUGUUCCUGAGUACCGUGACAAGUUUGCACAGUUGUCACGCUAUGCUCCAAAUGAGGUGGCUAAUGAUGCUGAUAAACGUCUCUUUCUAAAGGAUUUGCAUGAUGGUCUCUAACUUCAGUUGAUGUCCAAUGAAUACCCCAAUAUCAGACGCUUGUGAACCGUGCUAUUGUGGUGGAUAGCAAGCGCAAGGAGAUGGAUGCUAAGAGGAAGCGGAUGCAGGGACAAGCCUCUGGAAGCAAUACCCAUCAACGCACCAACUCACAGCAGGGCUUUCAGCAAAGGUACCAGGGAGCACCUUCUUAGUGGAAUCAUGGUUAGUACCCCUAGCGCAAUCAGUUCUAUUAGCGCCCACAGAACCAACAGAAUUGGCAGCAGGGCAACCAGCAAGCACCAUGCUAGGGGACAUCGAACAACACUCCAAUGAAGACUAGUGCUCCUAACACCCCCAACAAGUGUUUCUAUUGUGGUAAAGAGGGUCACCUGUCUUAUCACUGCCCUAAAAAGCCAAACCAACAGACCCCCUAGAAGUAGAAUGGUCAUCAGAAGUCCACUCCCAAUAUCGGAAGGGUGAACCACAUGUCCUCUGAGACAGCACUGCAGGAACCCGAAGUCAUGCUUGGUACGUUCGAUGUCAACUCUAUCCCUACCUCUGUUCCUUUUUAUUCUGGAGCCUCGUAUUCUUUCAUAUCACAAGCAUUUGUUAGAACACAUAGCCUACCAUUAUGUGCCAUGAAGAAUCCCAUACUAGUAAAUUCACCGGGGGGAGUAUGCAAGCUUCUUAUCGUUGUCUCCCAAUUAGUUUAACUCUAAGGGGGGUAGAGUUCGAAAUAAGUCCCAUUGUGGGAAUGGAUUGGAUGAAGCAAUAAGAUGCUUCGAUUUAGUGUAAAGGAAAGAUAGUUGCACUAACAACACUAAAAGGUGAAAUAAUCUAUGUGGAGGUUGCAGUCUAGCCUCAACCAAUAGCUAGAGUGAACCAGCUUGAUAAUAGUGUAAGCAAGGAGGAUCUGGUUGUUGAUAAGUUUUCAGAUGUGUUCCCCGAUGAUUUGCUAGGUAUGCCACCUUACCGUGACAUUCAAUUUAUUAUUGAAUUAUUACCUGGCACUGCACCUAUAGCUAAACGUCCAUAUAGAAUGGGGGUUAAUGAAUUAGAAGAACUUAAGAAACAAAUAAUAGAGUUACAGGAGAAAGGUUUCACUUGUCCUAGCUCUUCACCUUGUGGAGCAUCGGUGAUUUUUGUCGAGAAUAAGGAUGGUACAUAGAGGAUGUGUUGACAGAAGGGAGUAACUGCGGAAAGGUAUCAUUACUGGAGAGAAUUUCAGAGCAUUAAUGAUUUUAUACUCCAAAAUUGGGGGCAUGUGUUGACAUCGUUUUUUUGACACGUAUCCGGACAAGUAGUGGAACCUAGAUCGGCAGGCGAAAAAGUGAUGGCUACUGACAAAGGGAAUUAUCGAUAGUUUAUGAUGCCGAUGAUAAAGCAACAUGAUAUGAUUGAAUCCAAAGAUGGUGGUUGAUCUCUGCCGAUGGUUGAUGCUGGCAGUUGCCGAUGCCGAUGGGGUUAAUAUGCCGAUAAUGAUGAAAGAUGGCGUGGAGUCAUAGGGAAGAUGAUGGUGGUGUGCUGAUUGCCUAAAAUAGAUAAAUGUUUUCCAUAGUUGUUAGAGUUUGUUUUGUAUACAGAUUCCGUUUAGUUUGGAAUUAGAAUCCUAGUCGUACUUGAUUGUAACUCUUUAGAUAGAGUAUAAAUAUGGACCUAGUAGCGAUGUAAGACAUAUACAGUCAAUCAAACACAAGUUUUUUACAUCUAUUUCAGCAUCUACUUUUCGACGUCUUCGUCAUCUCGCAUAUUUUCUUUUUACUUACGAGUUCUUAGGAAUUCAUCGAGUCAAACUCGGCGAGUUCUCAAGUUCCACAUGAAUACCUCUUGGCCGUGGCAUCUGGGCGUAUCGCUGUUGUCGGGACCAAAGUAUUCGAGUUAUCACCUUUGUCGGUUGUAAGGUCAAAUCGGCUGGCACGCCUUAACAUUGAAUCAGGUAUUAGCCCUUUGUGUUUGCAGAUCUACUUUUGCAUCAACACAUCUUUUGGCACGCCGGGUGGGACCGAGAUAUCGUCGAGAUCAACAUGUCAAAUACUAAUUUCGACACAGAGAACAUCAUUGUUGUAACUAAGGCUAAUCUCAGAGAUGAGCAGAAGCAAGCUGUGGCAAAAGCUAUGGAGGAAUACAAGCAGCUAUGUUUGAAGUCCUUCAGUGUCGACAGGAGCAGCGAGGUGAUCCAAAAUGAAGCAUUGUCGAUGCCUCGGCAAAUCACUUUUGAAGCCAAUCCUGGUAAAUUGCAAGAGAUGGUUGGUAAUGCUAUUAAUCGUGCUUUAAUCAAUCAAUCCAGUGUGCUGUCCAAUACUGUUUUCAAUGCUGUGGCUAAAACCUUCAAAGAAGGACAGAUACCACCAUCUUAUGUGGGCCUGGCCUAUCAUCAGCCAGGAUAAUCAUGGGUUACGGCUCCAUCGGCUCCUUCAGCCGUUGCCGGUAUAGAAGUUACACUUCUCCUCCAAGCACAUUAGGGAUGACUAAUGGGGAAUCUACAUCGAUGAGGACUAAUCCAGCAACAUCAGAGGGACAAGUUCAACUUGCCACAGAUCUAUUGGCAUCGGCAAUGUCAGGGUUUGUAUUCCAAAAUUGUCAAGUUCCUCCCAACUGGUGGGGAUAUGGUAUGCCUCUAGAAUUUUUCGCAAAUAGUUCUAGAACAUCUCAAGUGGCUGACGUGACAGGCAAGGCUCCUAUGAAAUCGGCACCUCCGGUAUCGCCGAUGGCUCAAAAUCCUCAAUAUUCCACAACUACUACUGUGAGGCCUCUUACUGGAAAUUUUCAGAUGCCAACGUUCCAGAUGCCCAAUGCAUCGGCAGAUCCAUUGCCGACGCACCAAAGGUUUAUGACUCAGACAGGGUAUGUUAACCCAAUGAUGACACUCAAUUAUCAGCCAUCGGCUAGGCCUAUGCCGAUGAUCAAUGGAUGGACAUGACAGUUUGUCUUUCCACAAAUAGCUCAGCAGAAUCAUCAGGCUACGGGAUUCCAGCAAGGACAGAUGCAGCGUGGUUUUCAGAAUCAAGGACCAAUCCAUCAGCCAAUGAAUCUUGCUCAGCAGAUCGGUGGCCAACAAGCUGUGGCUAAUGCUAUGUUCCCUGGAGAUCAUGCACCUCAAAGGCAGGUGCCAGAACUGUUGUGUAUUCUUAACAUCAUUACCAAAAGUAGACUUAGUUUUCUAAUUCUGAUAACGGUGCCAAAAAUACCAAACCUAUCCCUCAUACCACUUAAGCCAAGUUGUCAUCCCUAGCAUGAGAUGAGAGACGCGGUAUUGAAAUAUGCAAUUGUUCUUCUAAAUAAAUAAUGAAUGGGAUCUGCAAGCGCACAGAUUAAUACCGAUGUAGCAUUUUAACUAGAAAGUAUUCCAGGUAUCGUUAUUUAUAUUUUUACCACUAGGAAGGGAUUAGCAAUCAUCAAUCUUGAUUAUAGAAUAGAAUAUGAGAUUGAGUAUCUAUCAUUGCAUGUAUAAUUGAGAACAUUUAUCUAACUCUUUCAUACAGGGAUAAGUGUCACAUAAAAGAUAUAUGAAGUAAUGAAUAGCGACAAAGAUAAUUAAUCUGAUCAGCAUAACUUAGCCACAUAAUAAAUAUGAUAAGCACCUCAAUUAGAUGCUCUAGAAAGUCAUUAGCAUGGUAUUAGAACGAACUACAAGAAUGUUUCCUAAGUUGUUCUCAACUAUAUAGUCUGCAUUAUCAUAGUUAGUGCAAGCAUACUUAGCAAUCAUUGUGAGACAAGACUACGUCCAUGCAUAGUGAUAUUAGCAAGGUAAAUGAGAAACAUAGCAAUCACUCCCCUGUAAUAAUGUUGCUCUGCCAGCCCAAUACACGAGAGGGGGACUAUAUAAGAAUCAAUGAAGCUGUCACUAUCACGAACUACCCCACGAUCUGGCAUAUUGGGUACAAUCGCAGGUAAAUACGAUAUAGGCACCACGCCUACAUAAUAUCUAUCAUUUACCCAUGGAUCCGAUGGAUAAACGCUAUACGAUCCUAAACAUGUUUAUAGAUCCAAUCUAACUAAGCCAAGUAUAUAACUAUGAUAAACUAAGAACAAUAUAAUCUUGAAUAUAAACAAGUAGAGCAAAGUCAUAAGCAAUAUAUUAAAGUAGAACAAAGUUAUAUUCAUAAUAUUGAAGAACAAAGAUGAUUAGAAGAACAAUUAGAAGCACAAUUAGAGAAUUACCAAGAAUCCUCUUGACAAAUCCGGAAACCAAUCGAAUAUUGACUCCUUCUAAUUCUAAUUCUAUGUAGCUAUACUAAUCUAGAUGUCUAAUUGAUGUGGUGGCUCUAGGCUUGAUCAGAGGCUUCUUCUCCCUUGAGAAUAAUGAAUUAGUGUUGAGAGGCUUUCUCCUCCAGGGGCCAGGGUGUCUGGUUUUAUAGUCCCUUCAAGUGAAUAUGGGCCGUUGGAUCAAACCGACAUUGAUUGAACGGUUAUCCUUGAUCCUUUAGGUCGGUGGAGAUCUUUCCCGAAAGAGUGUCCUGAUUGGACUCAGAGACGGGGCGGGCGCCCAGGUCAACUGGGCGGGCGCCCAGUGCCUGGCCCCAUUCGGCCUCCGCUUCCUUCCCGUGGCUUCUGGAGUCUUCUAGAUGUAAGAUAAUUGCGCGGCACGUUGAUAUCUCUAUGUAAUCCCGAUGUGUGGGCCUUUCUUCCUUAUUUCCUGAUAACCCCCUGUAGAAAUAGACAAACACCAAAACUCAUGGAAUUCUGUCAGAUAAAACCCUAAGUCUGGAUGUUGAUUUCAUUUGGAUCUUUUUCUUUGUUUAUUUGAUAAUUAAAUUUGGUACUUAAGGACCGUCAACAAGAACCUCAACCUAUACAUCGGCAGGAUGCCGAUGCCUAUUGGGCCGAUAAGAUAGCAGAAGUUAUGAGGGAUCAGUUUGGGAUAAAACCCAAGGUCAAUACUUAUUCUUAUCGGACACCAUACCCUCCUGCAUAUGAUUUGAUUCCACUCCCAAAUCGGUACAAAGUGCCAGAUUUCACUAAAUUCUCUAGGCAAGAUGAUACAUCUACUAUGGAGCAUGUCAAUAGGUUCAUCAUCCAGUGUGGAGAUGCUGCUAAUAGAGAGGAGUUAAGAGUUCACUUAUUCUCAACAUCUUUGUAUGGAUCGGCCUUUACUUGGUUCAUUUCAUUGCCUCCAAACUCAGUAAUUACUUGGGCCGAUUUGGAGAAGCCGUUCCACAAAUACUUCUUUUCUGGAGUUCAUAAGAAGAAGAUUACCGAUUCAGUUAGACUGAGGCAACAUAAUGAUGAAUCUGUUGAAAGUUUCGUGCAAAGGUUGCGGGAUGUCAAGAAUAAAUACUAUAGUGUGGUUCUGGAUGAUCGGCAGCUAUCCGAUUUAGCUUUCUAAGGGUUGUUGCCACACAUUAAAGACAAAUAUGCCUCUCAAGAAUUUGAAAGUCUAAGUCAUCUGGUGCAGAGAAUUUCUGAUCAAGCUAUCAAAGCUUUUGAACCUAAGAGAGCAUGGAACAAAAAGGUGUCGUUUGUUGAUGAGGUGAAAAGCUCAGAUUCUGAUGAAGAACUAGUCAUCGGCUUAGCAGAAUGGGUAAAAAGCAAAAAGCCAAUGUCUUGUCCUUUUGGCCAUAAAGAGCCAGAAAAGUUCGCUCUUGAUAUCACAAAAGCCGAUAGGAUAUUUGACUUUCUGCUUCAGGAGGGGCAAAUUCAAUUGUCACCCAAUCAUGUGAUUCCAUUGGCAGAAGAGUUGAAGAAGAUCAAGUAUUGUAAAUGGCAUAAUGCAACGUCUCAUAGUACAAAUGAAUGCAAGGUGUUCAGACAACAGCUACAAUCGGCUAUAGAGUCUAGGAGGAUUAAAUUUGAUAGCUCCAAAGCUCAAAAGACCAUGAAAAUUGAUCAGCAUCCUUUCCCUACAAAUAUGCUGGAUGCUACGGGGAAGACCAAAUUCUUGACAUCGGAGGCAGCUGAGAAGAACGCAUCGGUGGACCCCCAGCAUCAGAUUAUUGCCGAUGACGCCAAAGAUAAAGGAUUAAUCUAGGAGGGCACUAGUUCGGGGAGACCUCCUCGAUCCGGCAUUGUGAUCACUCAUAGGCACCAUCGGGAGACAUGGCAACAGCGUGAAGAUCGGUAUCGCCGCCAGCAAGAGGAUCGUCGCCGAGAAGAGGAAAGGCGUCGACAAGAGUGGAAUCGGCACAAAGACCAUUGGAAUUGCCCCUUCUUCAUUCACUGUUGGGAGCAAAACAUCAAGUUACCAACUAUUAGAGACUGCCCGGAGUGCAAUGGCUAUAAUCAGCAUGACAGACAAAAUCGGCGAUAUCAAGACGAUGAUCGACGUUUUAAUGGGCCGAUUAGAGGAAGGACAUUAGUUCAUGAUCGGCUACGGGGCAGGCUCAGUGUGCAUGACAAGCUUGGUGAACGUGUCGGUUAUUUUCCCAGGAACCAAGAGGAACUUGACGAGAUGGUGGAUGCACGAGUUCCCGAUGAGUUCAUAUUUUGUAGUGAUGCUAAUACUUAUCGGAUGGAAUUAAGGGAGGCUCGACAUCAAUUGGUAAGGCGAACACAACUUCCUCCAUGGUGUCUAUUGACGGUCCUUAAGUAUCAAAUUUAAUUAUCAAAUAAAUAAAGAAAAGGAUCCAAAUGAAAUCAAGAUCUAGACUUAGGGUUUUAUCUGACAGAAUUCCACGAGUUUUGGUGUUUGUCUAUUUCUGCAGGGAGUUAUCAGGAAAUAUGGAAGAAAGGCCCACAUGUCAGGAUUACGUCAAGAUAUUAACGUGCUGCGCAAUUAUCUUACAUCUAGAAGACUCCAGAAGCCACGAGACCGAAGCGGAGGCGAAUCGGGGCCACAGACAGGGCGCCCGCCCUGUCCAACUGGGCGCCCGCCCUGCCCCUAAGUCCAAUCAGGACUCUGCUUUGCGGGAAGUCUCCACCGACCUAAAGGAUGAAUCUAAACCAUACAAUCUAUGUCGGUUUGAUCCAAGGGCCCAUAUUCACUUAAAGGGACUAUAAAACCAGACCCCCUGGCCCCUGCAGGAGAGAGCCUCUCAACCCUAAUUCAUUGUUCCAUCAAGGGAGAAAUAGCCUCUGAUCAAUAUUAGAGCCACCACAUCAAUUAGAUAUCUAGAUUAGCAUAGCUACAUAGGAUUAGAACUAGAAGGAGUCAAUCUUCGAUUGGUUUCCGGAUCUGUCAGGAGGAUUCUUGGUAAUUCUCUAAUUGUGCUUCUAAUUGCUUUCUAAUUAUCUUUGUUCUUCAAUAUUAUGAAUAUGACUUUGUUCUACUUCAAUAUAUUGCUUAUGACUUUGCUCUAUUUGCUUAUAUUCAAGAUUAUAUUGUUCUUAGUUUAUCAUAGUUAUGUACUUGGCUUAGUUAGAUACGAUCUAUAUACAUGCUUAGGAUCGUAUAGCGUUUAUCCAUCGGAUCCAUGGGUAAAUGACAGAUAUUGUGUAGGCGUGGUGCUUAUACCGUAUUUAUCUGCGAUUGUACCCAAUAUGCCAGAUCGUGGGGUAGUUCGUGAUAGUGACAGCUUCAUUGAUUCUUAUAUAGUCCCCCUCUCGUGUAUUGGGCUGGCAGAGCAACAUUAUUACAGGGGAGUGAUUGCUAUGUUUCUCAUAUUCCUUGCUAAUAUCACUAUGCAUGGGCGUAGUCUUGUCUCGCAAUGAUUGCUAAGUAUGCUUGCACUAACUAUGAUAUGCUAGACUAUAUAGUUAAGAAUAACUUAGGGAAUAUUCUUGUAGUUCGUUCUAAUACCAUGCUAAUGACUUUCUAGAGUAUCUAAUUGAGGUGCUUAUCAUAUUUAUUAUGUGGCUAGAUCAGAUUAGUUAUCCUUGUCACUAUUAUCAUUUCAUAUAUCUAUUAUGUGACAUUUAUCCCUGUAUGAAGAGUUAGAUAUAAUGUUCUCAAUUAUACAUGCAAUGAUAGAUGCUCAAUCUCAUAUUCUAUUCUGUAAUCAAUAGUGAUGAUUGACUAAUCCCUUCCCAGUGGUAAAAAUAUAAAUAACGAUACUUGGAAUACUUCCCGGUUAAAAUGCUACAUCGGUAUUAAUCUGUGCGCUUGCAGAUCCCAUUCAUUAUUUAUUUAGAAGAGCAAUUGCAUAUUUCAAUACCGCGUCUCUCAUGUCAUGCUGGGGAUGACAACUUGGCUUAAGUGGUGUGAGGGAUAGGUUUGGCAUUUUUGGCACCGUUGCUAGAUUUAGAACUUAGUCUACUUUUGGUAAUGAUGUUAAGAAUACCCAACAGUGUCUAGAAGGGUUGACAAGGACACAGAAGAGGAGAAUGCAGCGAGAACGACAAGAAGAACUGAGCAGGGAAGAAAAUUCUGCUAAGUCUGGAGAUCGGCAGCAGUCGGGUCACAAGGGAAAAGGGCCAUCGGCAGAUGUUAAGAUGGUAUUUAUAUUGUCGAUGGAGUUUCUUGCACCUUUCAAUGAUAAUGAGGAGAUAGAUUUCCCUGAUCAGAUAGCUCAGUUAGCUCUUGACCCAAUGACGGCUAUCUUUGAAAAGCCCGCUGACGAUGAAAGACAACAUCUUAAAGCUUUAUUUGUCAAGGGCAGGGUUGAUGGGCAGCCGAUGACCAAGAUACUUAUUGUUGGUGGAGCUGCUAUCAACAUUAUGCUAUAUGCAGUCUAUCGGAAGCUUGGCAAAGGGGAUCAGGAUUUGACCAAGACCGAUAUGAUGUUGAAAGAUUUUGAGGGAAACGUGUCUCCAGUCAAGGGAGCCAUAUGUGUUGAGUUGACCAUCGGCAGCAAAACCUUGCCGACGAUUUUUUUUGUCAUUAGUGGAAAGGGUGCCUACAAUUUGCUAUUGGGGAGAGACUGGAUUCAUGCCAAUUGUUGUAUUCCCUCUACAAUGCACCAGUGCUUGGUUCAAUGGGUAGGUGACAAGAUUGAAAUUGUCCUAGGAGAUUCGUCAUAUGUCAUCGCAUCUACAGAGGCAGAUACUUAUGAGAGGACUAGAUGCAUUUCAGGAGAAGUUUGGGAGAAGGAUUUUCUCAAAGUUGCCGAUAAUGAAAUUCCACCGAUCCAAGCAGUCGGUUCUGAUGAAGGGUUUUGAUGGAUAGGUUCACCGAUGAUGGAAAAAUAGGUCAGGGGUUUACAUCGACCGAUGAUUUAGUAGAAGUAGAUAUAGGUAAUGGUGAUAAGCCAAGGCCUACUUUUAUUAGCGCUAAGUUGGAUUCUGAGUGUAAGCAACAAUUAACCGAUUUGUUAAAGGAAUAUAAAGAUUGCUUUGCUUGGGAUUAUACCAAGAUGUCUGGUUUAGACCGAUCAAUCGUUGAAUAUCGGUUGCCUAUCAAGUCUGGGUUUCGGCCGUAUCAGUAGCCAGCACGCUGAUGCAAUCCUAAUAUUCUUCCUAAUAUUAAGGCCGAAAUAACUAAACUUAUUGAGGCUAAAUUUAUUUGGCAGUGUCGGUAUGCCGAAUAGAUUUCCAAUGUUGUCCCCGUUUACAUGAAAAAUGGGAAGCUUCAUGUCUGCAUUGACUUUAGAAACCUCAAUAAGGCUACACCGAUGGAUGGUUAUCCAAUGCCAAUUGCUGUUGAUGGUUCUUAUGUAUCAAUUUUAAUUAUCAAAUAAACAAGGGAAAGGACCAAUAUACAAACAACACCUAGAAUUAGGGUUUGAUCUGACAGAAUUCCAUGAAUUUUAUUGUUUAUCUGUUUCAGCAGGGGGUUAUCAGGAAAUAAGGAAGAAAGGCACACAUGUCAGAAUUACAUAGAGAUAUUAACGUGCCACACAAAUAAGGAAGAAAGGCCCACUUGUCGGAAUUACAUAGAGAUAUUAACGUGCCGCUCAAUUUUCUAUCAUCUAGAAGAAUCCAGAAGCCACGGGAACGAACGGGAAGGCGAUCGGGCCCGGGGGCAGGGCGCCCGCCCUACCCCCCUGGGCGCCCGCCCACUUCCUGUAGCCAAUCACGGUGAAUCUCGCGGAUCAUGCUCCACCGACUGUUGACGGUCCUUAAUGCUCACAUUUAAAUGUCAACUAAUCAAGAAAAAGGAUCCAAAUGCAACCAACACCUAGACUUAGAGUUUCAUUUGACAGAUUUCCACGAGUUUUGGUGUUUGUCUAUUUCUGCAGGGGGUUAUCAGGAAAUACGAAGGAAAGGCCCACACGUCGGGUUUACAUAGAGAUAUUAACGUGCCACGCAAUUUUCUAUCAUCUAGAAGACUCCAGAAGCCACGGGAACGAACGAGAGGCUGAACGGGCCCGGGGGUAGGGCGCCCGCCCUUCCCCCUUGGGCGCCCACCCUGGUACAAGAACCAAUCACAGAAUGGAGUACACCAUUACAAAGAUCUCGUCGAGCUGAUCGAAAUGCAUAUAUUAUUUGCUAUAUUUGGAGUUCAGAAUCAAGAGAUAUUAAUAAAAGGACUCCACAUAAAAGAGCUGCGGGAUUAAUUGGGCCCAAAUCAGAUUUUGGUCCAUUAAGGCCUAUGUGCAUUUUAAUGAGAUAUAGUGGAAAGUUUAGUACCACAUCGCCUGCUGAACCAAAAAGGCACGAAAGGAGGUGGCUAUAUAAGCAAGGCCCCUAGCCUCUAGAGGAGAACAUAUCAUUAUAGAGUUGAGAGGUGCCCUCGAAAGAUAACCUUUCCUCUAUAGAGAAUAAGGGCUAGACGUUCCAAUAUAGUAGAUUAGUGUUGACGGUCCUUAAGUACUAAAAUUAAUAAUCAAAUAAACAUGAAAAAGGAUCAAUAUAAAACAAACAUCUAGAAUUAGGGUUUUAUCUAACAGAAUUCCACGAGUUUUGGUGUUUAUCUAUUUUUGCAGGGGUUUAACAGAAAAUAUGGAGAGAAGGCCCACAUGUCAUGUUUACAACGAGAUAAUUAUGUGCCGCGCAAUUUUCCUCCAUCUAGAAGGAUCCAGAAGCCACGAGAACGAACGGGACGCGAUUCGGGCUCGGGAGCUGGGCGGCCGCCCACCCCCCUUGGGCGCCCGCCCUGGCCAGGAAGCCAAUCAGGACUCUGCUUCGGGACAACGCUCCACCGACCUAAAGGAUCAAUCUAAACCAUACAAUCUAUGUCGGUUUGAUCCAAUGGCUCACGUUCACUUGAGGGGACUAUAAAACCAGACCCCCUGGCCCCUGGAGGAAGAGAGGAGAAAUCAUUAUUCAGAGGUAGCCAUCAAAGUUAGGGUUUAGAGCUUCUCUCCCACAGAGAAUUAGAAUUAGCUACUCCCUAAUCCUUCAAGUUUAGAGGUUGAUUAGAUAGCAAUUAGAGAAGUAGAGCACUACGCUCUGGAUUCGGAUCUUCGGUAAUAAAGAUUGGUAUUAUUCAUAUCUUUCUCUAAUUCUAUUGUUCUAAUUGCAUUAUGUCUCUAAUUAUUAUGCUCUUAGUUUGCUCUAGUUCUAUAUUUGAUAUAGUUCUAAUUGAUAAUGAGUUUAUGUAUAAGUUUGCAAAGCGCUUAGCUCUUGUCGCGAGGGAGUUAGGUGAUAGAUCACAUGUGAGCGUGGUGCUUAGAUGUUAUUUAUCUGCAAAUGUAUCCUAUUGGCCGGGUCGUGUGGUAGUUCGCGAUAGUGACAGCUUCGUUGAUUCUUAUAUAGUCCACCCUCCGUUGAUAGGACAGGCAGAACCGGUAUUGUGGAGUAAGUCAUGCGAUGUUCUGAUUUACUUUAUCAAUGUUCCUUAUACAUGAAUGAAGAGUCUUUUAUGCUAUAUAUGAUCUUGUAGAUAACUAGAGUAGAUUAUGACUUAGUAGUUAGUAGAUAACUUAGAAUCCAUUCUCUAGCUAAUCCGACAUCACCUACAUAUAUGAGGAGUAGUCUAUUUUCUAAUCGCUGUGUCAUCUACCCAUGAACUUAUACUUUAUUAUCAUUAUCUUUUUGGUUUAUCCCCUGCUUAAGUAUGUGACUGUGUGACGAGUUUCUUAUUAGUAAUCAUGUUCUUGCAAGUUUAUCUCUAGUCUAUGCCUUGAUAGAUUUUGUCCCUUGAUUUAAUUCCAUCUUCUUUAGAUCCCUUGAGCAAAAUUAUAAAUAACGAUACCUGGAAUACUUAUCCUGGUGAAAUGCUACAAUGAGGUGUUUUAUCUGUGUGCUUGCGGAUAGAAUAGAUUAUUUUCUAGAGAGCCUUUACAUUUAUAAAUACCUUUGUACACUCUGGCGCCAUGCUAGGGAUGACAACCUAGUAUCUAAGUGGUGUUAGCUAGUGUCAACAAGCAUUUCUGGCGCCGUUGCCGGGGAAUUAUAGGAAUUUAUAGGAUCUUAUAGGAAUUAUAUGAGUCUCAGGAAUAAGUCAUAAAAGGGAACAAAAGGGUAAUAUUAAGGAAAGCCAGAAAAUCAAUCAAGGUUAUUCACAGAAAAUAUUAGACUAGACUAUAGAGAAAUAAUUGCAUAAAAACAGCUACUAAGUGAGAAAUCAUAACAAGGCACCGCUGCUUUGGCAGGUUCACCCUGUUGUUUUUCUAUGUUUAUAUUUUUAUACAGGGUAUAACAGGAUUGACUUUGGGUACAUUCAACUCUUCAUCAUCAGAACCAAAGCAAUCAAAAGAAGAAGAAGCUAGCUACCAAUUGCUGAAGCUAUGGCACAAAAGACCUUGCAAGAAUUCUCUGCUCCAAGUCUUGACAACAUUCCAACUGGUCCAAGAUUUGCAGUAGAAGAAGGAAUACCUGAGUUUGAGCUCAAGUCAAGCCUCAUCAAUUUGGUACAAGCUACACAAUUCAGUGGAAAGGCACAUGAAGAUGCCAGUGCACACUUGCAGAAUUUCUUAGAGAUUGGAAGCACAAUCCACAUCAACGGAGUUGACAAAGACGUCAUACUACUUCGCCUUUUUCCAUUCUCACUAGAAGGGAAAGCGAGGAAGUGGUUCUACACUCAUCAAGAUAGCAUCAACAACUGGACGAACUUGUCAGAUGCCUUUCUAUCAAAGUUUUUCCCUAUAGGCAAAACAACUGCCUUAAGAGGAAAUAUUGUCAGUUUCCAACAGCAGAAGACAGAAGCCAUUUUAGAAGCAUGGGAGCGUUUUCAAGGAUACAUAUCAGAUUGUCCUCACCAUGGAAUGGCCACAUGGUUACUUAUGCAGACCUUCUACCAUGGAUUAACCCAGAAGACUCGUGAGUGCCUAGAUGCAUCUGCUAAAGGAUCAUUCUUGGAGCUUACAACUGGAAAAGCAGAGAUACUUUUGGAUAAGAUAGCAGAAAACCAAAGCUGGUUCCAAGAUAAAGCCCAACAAUGUCAUCAAACUGAAGAAAUACCAGAAGAAGUAAAUGCAUUAUCAACUAAGAUGGAAAAAUUGCUCCAUUGGAUUGACCAGAGGGCCAAGUUCAAAGAAGAUCAAAGGGCCAUUGAGACAGCAUACAAAUAUCAGCCAACUUCGAGUCAACCCAAUAGCAAAGGUAUGAAUUCAGGUAAUACUGUCAAACAACUUUCAUUAAAAGAGAUAAUUGCUCAACAAACCAAAAUUAAUGAUGAAGUUAAACAAAGGCUAGAUACAAAUGAAUCAUCUCUAAAAGAUAUACACAAUAAAAUGGAUUUUCUACUAACUGCCUUUGAUGAGCAGAACACUCUUAAUAAAAGGGUAGAGCUUAAAUUAAUAAAGUUAGCUGCUGCACUGCCUGUUGCUACUAACAUUGAGCAGGUAAAGAAUAUAACUACUAGAGGAGGUAAAGCUACCAGAGAUCCACCAUACCCAAAAGAGAAACAAAGAACAUCAGCACCAGUGCAACCAGCAGUGAUAGAAGAAGAAAGCCCAGUUGAAGCAGAAGAUCUGCUCCAACCACCAAGAACUAGAGAAAUGAGGAAAGAUUUUUACAACACCAACUAUUUGCCAUUUCCCAUAAGAAACAGAGGACUGCAGUCGGAUGAGCAGUUUGGUAAGUUUGUAGAGGUCAUUCAGAAAUUAUAUGUCAACAUACCUCUGCUCGAUGCCAUACAGGUACCUACAUAUGCAAAGUACAUCAGAGAUAUUCUUAACAAGAAGAGACCACUGCCCACCACUGAGGUUAUCAAGCUGACAGAAGGAUGUAGUGCGGUCAUCCUCAACAAACCACCAAAGAAAAAGGAAGAUCCAGGAUGCCCCACUAUUGAUUGCUCGAUCGGAAACCAACACUUCAACAAUGCACUUUGUGAUCUUGGAGCAAGUGUCAGUGUGAUGCCAGCAUCAGUCUACAAAAAGCUUGAGCAUGCAACCUUAGAACCAACAUCAAUGUGUCUACAACUAGCGGAUCAAUCGGUUCGACACCCGUUGGGCAUCGCUGAGAACAUUCCAGUCAAGAUCAGAGAUUUCCUUGUGCCAGUAGACUUCGUAGUACUGGACAUGAGUCCUGACUCGAAAGUAUCCAUCAUCCUUGGAAGGCCAUUUCUGAGCACUGCCAAUGCCCACAUUGAUGUCGGGAAGGGAGAAAUCAAGUUCAACAUAAACGGUCAAGAAGAACACUUCACAUUCAAACCCAGACCAGAGAGAGACUCUACAGUGAAGGAAGUUCAUGAAGAACCACUGGAGACACCAUCUCCGGAGGAAGGAAACUCAGAAGAUUACAAGAAUUAGAGGUCCAGCUUGGGGGACCUAAAAAUCCAACACCCUCACCGGGAGGUAAAUCGGUAUUUACCCGCAUUAUUAAUUUUCUCGUAUUUAAAUUCUUGCAUAAUUAAGUCUUGCAUUAGUCAUAUAUAUUCAUAGCAAUAUUAUAAUAAUCAAAAAGCCCCAUAUAAAUAAUAUUCGUGGUGUGUAACAACCCAUAUUUAUUAAUUAUUGUGGAGGCACAAAAAUAUUUUCCAAUAUCAUUUUCAAUAAGUUUCGAUUCUCAUAGGUCUUCAUGCAUUAUAUUUAAUCAUAUAAAUCUUCUAGAAGCAUGACCCACACUCUUUGGGUCCCACAUGUCAUACACUUCACCUCACAUACAUCCCAUCACAUAAUUUCAUCCACCAAUAUGUUUCCACUCAUCUUUCCACCGUCCAACCACCACUAACACAAUAUUAUUCUGCGUGAGAUCAAAGCAAGGAAGCAAGUGGAGGAGGCACACCUAGGAUGGACACCAGGGGUGGGCGCCCGCCCACUUACCUUGGGCGCCCGCCCUGUCCCCUGCUCAGCCUAUAAAAGGCCACCUCCAGCUUCCCUUCUCUCCACGCAAGCACUCCAGAAAACCACACAAAUCUCAGUUUCCCGAGAAGGAGCUUUUGUAGUGAAGAGAAGAGAGUAGAGAGAAAGAGGAGAGUGGAAGGGAAGGUUGGAGUUCUUUUGAGAAAGUGAUUGUCACUUAGCAAAUAGUGAUCCCGCUGUCCAAGCGGAAGUAAAAGUUGUUUAGGGGAAGGCUCUACCAAGAUAGAAACUUGUCUUGAACAAUUAACCCCUUGACUUCUGACACUCCGGACAGCUAACCACUAACAUUUUAUCUCACAUUUUCCACCAGUUGUGUUUUUUGCCAACUUUUGUUUGCAGGAUGUUUAAGAAGGUGAAGAAUGCAGGGAAGGCUCUCAAGAACAUUGGUACAAGGAGUUCAACCCGACACUCCUCACAGCCAUCAGAGAUGAGCAUCGAUCCGACACCCACACAAGCUCCAUCAUCUUCAUCAGGCCAGCAAGUCAAGGUCCUUCUCAAGAUAGGAGACCUAGGACUGAAGACCCGAAGAGAGAAGGAAGUCUAUCAGCAAUUGAAGAACAAAGAUUUCAUUCACACCCCUACUAUCGAUCCAAUCCUACUACGAGAAACAGGUAUGGACACUGAAUUUGACUUAAUUUUUCAAAUGAUGGGUUGGACAAAUUUUUGGAAUAUAACUGAGCUGGGUUCUCGUCUUCUCACCCUCGAAUUUCUUUGCACUUUACAAUACUAUGAGGGGGGAAUUGCUUUUCGGAUGUUUAAACAGGAAAUUAUGUUAUCUUGGAGAGAGCUGAGCGACCAUCUUGGUUUCUCUUCAAGAUGCAUCCUGAACAUUGACUCCGAUUUACCCAAUGUUGAGAGACACCAGUUUUGGAGAGAAAUAUCUAGAGAUAAUUUUUAUAGUCAAGCCCGAACCAGUGACAUGGAACACCCCACUCUUAGGAUGUUUCAGAAAUGGCUUGGGUACAAUCUUUUCUAUCGCGGUGAUAUUAGGAAAGUAAGAGUAGGAGAUUUACAACUUUUAUAUGCUGCUAUUAGUAAAGUGCCCACUUCACCUGUUACACUAUUAGUUUCACAUUGGCUUAGUAUACCUAGUCUUCAGGGACCAGUAGGAUGUACUUCACUUAUCACUCGUCUAGCCACUAAUCUUCACUUACUAGAAAACUCAUCGUUGGACUUCAUAGAAGAAUUAAGAAUUUAUCAUGGCUAUGACACAUUUAGACAAGCUCGGAUGUUAAAGAAAGAGGGGAAUAUAAUAUAUAUGCUAUAUGAUGAUAAAGGCAAGAUUCGGUUACCUAACCCGAACCUUGGCCUCUACUCUGUGCAAAACUUUUUGAUUGAGAUUACAGCAACACCAGUGAACCAGAGAACUCCACAGCGAGUGGGAUCUAAAAGGAUAACCACUCACCGAGAACGCACUUGGUAUGGAGCUGACCCUGGACCAGAAGAAGCAGCGCACCUGCAUUAUUGCAAUUACAACCCUCGAGUCCUUCGAGACCCAUGGGCUUGUCAUGCGCAACCACAAGAGCCAACAGAGGAGACAUGGCCGGAGAGCCAAGAUCACCAGUGGACAAACCCGCCUUUUCAUACGGGCAGGUACUCCACUGAUCCAUAUGGAGCUUCAGGAUCCAGACCUCCACCCCAAUUUGAUGCACGACGAUACUCCGACGCCUCCUACGCCUUCACAAAUGACUACUAUCAAGAGGCCGGUGCUUUCUUCACUCGUACCGACAACACCCUCCUCGACAUCCAGAACACGCAAGUAGAACAUGGAAGACUCCUGGAAGAGCAACAAAAAUGGAACCAGGACCAUGCCGCUGCAGUAGAAGAGCUGAGACAAGAUACAACAACAAUGAACGACAACAUCACAACCAUGAUGCGGUUCUGGAACAUCGGGUAAGACCGACGGCAACAUCCAGCUUGGGGGAGUUCCUCCCAAAUUUAUCAAGUAAGUUUUUAUUUGCUCUUCUUAUUUAUUCUAUUCUAUUUUAGUAUUUUAUCUUAAAAGUAAAAAACUUAGAAAACCAAAUAAAUAUUUUCUUGCUUUAAUUUACUGCACUUUAUAAACAUGAAAACAAAAUAAAAAGAGUGUGUAGAUAAGUGUGUUUUAUUUUUUUACUAAGUAUAAUCUCUAGAAAAAAUAAAAAGACCAAAAAUAUGCAUGAUGGAAAUGAUGAACAGUUGCUCUGUUUGCUUACUUACAAGUACCUAGCUUUUAUAUUAGAAUUCUUCCAGGAAUUACUAAAACUAAAAUUACUAUCUUUGGGAAGCAUAAAACUAAAGUCUAGGUGAGAGAAAGGCAUGAUAUAAAGUUGAGCCACUGUUUAUCUUGUUCCUACUACACUAAGUUCUGGAGAUUUAUUUUGAAAACUUACAAAUCACAUGAUGAGUUCCUAGCAUAACAAACUACCUACCACAGCCAUACUUGCUAUAAGAUCUUUUACUAUAUUUACAUUGAGUUUGAUCGAGCUGUGUCGACCCUUAGGAGCUUUUCAUGUGGUUAAAUUAAGAUAUUCACUUGCACACAUCUACCACAGCAUCCACCACCAUUCAUUAAAAUUGUUAAAAAUAUUAUCACUCACUGUCCCAAGUAUUGUUAUUCUCUCUCUCUAAAAAAAUUCAAUGCAGAAGAGGCAUGGGUUAUGCAAAAAUAUACGAGGAAAUAAAACGGGGCAAGUGCCCGGAAACCUCGGGAAAAGAAAGAAAAAGAGUGAGACGAGAGGUAAAAAUGGACAAGUGUCCGAAGUAGAAUUAGGGGUACAAAGAUGCCCACUUGAGCGGAAAAAAUAGACAAGUGUCCGACAGUAGAAUUAGGGGUAUCUACUACCCACCUGAAAAAAAAAGAAAGAGAAAAGAAAAGAAAAAGAUAGCCCAUGUUCUCCCAAGGCAAAGAUCAAAGAAGAGGAGAGAUAGCAAUAUAAGGAGCAAUGAGAACUAAAUUUUAUUAUUAUCACUUAUGCAUUUUCACCAUCACUAUCAUUUACUCCAUCACACAUGCACAUCUUGAUUUAAUUAUAUGCUGAGUUCCUUUGGAUCCAUGGCUCGAUUAGACAACAUAUGUAUGAGCUGUUUUUCACUCCUAUGAGCUCCACUUAAAUAUUCCAUUAGCUAUAGGUAAGUGACAUCAUGGUAAGGAUCCACAAAUACCACAUAUAGAGAGACUUAAGAGAUUAUUGCUGGGAACUCUGAGUUUUAUUUUGAAAACUUAUUAAAAAACUCUAGAACAAAGGUGAAGUAUAGACAGGAGGGAUAGUACUUGACUUAACUAUUUUGUCUUUUGAUUACUUAAGACUUAAGUGCAGGUACUAAACUUCAUAACACUUCACUUUAAUCUGGACGAAUUUUUAUGUAAAAGCAUGUGUGCCUGUCAGGAAAGAAAACAUCGAAGCAACUUCUGAUUCGUCUGAGUUUAGUUAUUUGCUCAGGGACGAGCAAAAGGUAAGCUUGGGGGAGUU